UUGGGAAUCUUGCACAAUGGGGGAAACCCUGAUGCAGCGACGCCGCGUGGAGGAUGAAGGGUCUAGGCUCGUAAACUCCUUUUAUCGGGAAAGACUUAGGACGGUACCCGAUGAAUAAGGACCGGCUAACUACGUGCCAGCAGCCGCGGUAAGACGUAGGGUCCAAGCGUUGUCCGGAUUUACUGGGCGUAAAGAGCGCGUAGGCGGUCUAUUAAGUGAGAAGUGAAAUCUCUAGGGCUCAACCCAGAAACUGCUUUUCAUACUGAUAGACUUGAGGAAUGCAGAGGUCAGUGGAAUUCCUGGUGUAGCGGUGAAAUGCGUUGAUAUCAGGAGGAACACCCAUGGCGAAGGCAGCUGACUGGGCAUUAUCUGACGCUGAGGCGCGAAAGCGUGGGUAGCAAACAGG
rnacentral:rRNA from 1 species